rnacentral:rRNA from 1 species
AGCGAACGCUGGCGGCAGGCCUAACACAUGCAAGUCGAACCGAAGUCUUCGGGACUUAGUGGCGGACGGGUGAGUAACACGUGGGAACGUACCUUUUGGUUCGGAACAACUCAGGGAAACUUGAGCUAAUACCGAAUGUGCCCUUCGGGGGAAAGAUUUAUCGCCAUUAGAGCGGCCCGCGUUAGAUUAGCUAGUUGGUG